GCCUGCAGCUGCUCCCGGGGAAGGCCAGCAGCGCUUAAGCGGCAACACAAACAGCCACAGCGGCCCACCGCCCGCCGCCCAGCCCGACUCACCUGAACCGUAUCGUUGGCGACCACACGAGCGACGAGGUCGUCGAAACUGGUGGUCCCGACGGUCACAAACGCUCUCUUCAUCGCGCGGGUUCCAGAUUCGGAAUUACUGGAGCGGAUGUGACGUUCUGCGAGCAUGCAACAAAGAGUAUACUUUCUGAACCAGGGAAAUGGCAGAUUGGGUGAAAGCAUCAGCAUGGAAGCCUCAUGACUUGAGUUCGAUCCCCAGGGUCCAUGUGAUGAGGGAACCAACUGCUAUAAGUUGUCUUCCAACCCGUGACAUGCUCAACAUAGCACAUGCACCACCCCUGUAUAGAAAUAAACAAAUAAAUAAAGGUAA
rnacentral:lncRNA from 1 species